rnacentral:rRNA from 1 species
AUGCACGCUGGCGGCGUGCCUAAUACAUGCCAGUCGAGCGAACAGACGAGGAGCUUGCUCCUCUGACGUUAGCGGCGGCCGGGUGAGUAACACGUGGAUAACCUACCUAUAAGACUGGGAUAACUUCGGGAAACCGGAGCUAAUACCGGAUAAUAUAUUGAACCGCAUGGUUCAAUAGUGAAAGACGGUUUUGCUGUCACUUAUAGAUGGAUCCGCGCCGCAUUAGCUAGUUGGUAAGGUAACGGCUUACCAAGGCAACGAUGCGUAGCCGACCUGAGAGGGUGAUCGGCCACACUGGAACUGAGACACGGUCCAGACUCCUACGGGAGGCAGCAGUAGGGAAUCUUCCGCAAUGGGCGAAAGCUUGACGGAGCAACGCCGCGUGAGUGAUGAAGGUCUUCGGAUCGUAAAACUCUGUUAUUAGGGAAGAACAAAUGUGUAAGUAACUAUGCACGUCUUGACGGUACCUAAUCAGAAAGCCACGGCUAACUACGUG